AGAGAAUUUGUCAACGAUAUCAACAAAAAUUUAUGCCAGUUUCUUGAUGUGGAGAGGAGUCUUUGUGCUCCAUAUCAUCCACAGACCAAUGGUCUAGUGGAAAGAUUGAAUGGAACAAUUCAAAGAACAUUAUGCAAACUGGUAAAAGACAAGCC